UACAGAGGGUGCGAGCGUUAAUCGGAAUUACUGGGCGUAAAGCGUGCGUAGACGGUUAUUUAAUUCGGAUGUGAAAGCCCCGGGCUCAACCUGGGAAUUGCAUUCGAGACUGAAUAGCUAGGGUACGGUAGAGGGAAGCGGAAUUUCCGGUGUAGCGGUGAAAUGCGUAGAUAUCGGAAGGAACAUCAGUGGCGAAAGCGGCUUCCUGGACCAGUACCGACGUUCAGGCACGAAAGCGUGGGGAGCAAACAGG
rnacentral:rRNA from 1 species